rnacentral:rRNA from 1 species
AAACCAGCACCUCAAGUGGUCAGGAUGAUUAUUGGGCCUAAAGCAUCCGUAGCCUGCUUUGUCAGUUUUCGGUUAAAUCCAUACGCUCAACGUAUGGGCUGCCGGAAAUACUGCAAAGCUAGGGAGUGGGAGAGGUAGACGGUACUCGGGAGGAAGGGGUAAAAUCCUUUGAUCUCUCGAUGACCACCUGUGGCGAAGGCGGUCUACCAGAACACGUCCGACGGUGAGGGAUGAAAGCUGGGGGAGCAAACCGGAUUAGAUACCCGAGUAGUCC